UACGUAGGGGGCAAGCGUUGUCCGGAAUCAUUGGGCGUAAAGAGCUCGUAGGCGGUUUGUCGCGUCUGCUGUGAAAACUCGGGGCUUAACUCCGGGCCUGCAGUGGGUACGGGCAGACUAGAGUGCGGUAGGGGAGACUGGAAUUCCUGGUGUAGCAGUGAAAUGCGUAGAGAUCAUGAGGAAGACCAGUGGCGAAGGCGGGUCUCUGGACAGUUCCUGACACUGAGACACGAAGGCCAGGGGAGCAAACGGG
rnacentral:rRNA from 1 species